rnacentral:rRNA from 1 species
AGUGAACGCUGGCGGUAGGCCUAACACAUGCAAGUCGAACGGCAGCACAGUAAGAGCUUGCUCUUACGGGUGGCGAGUGGCGGACGAGUGAGGAAUACAUCGGAAUCUACUUUUUCGUGGGGGAUAACGUAGGGAAACUUACGCUAAUACCGCAUACGACCUACGGGUGAAAGCAGGGGAUCUUCGGACCUUGCGCGAUUGAAUGAGCUGAUGUCGGAUUAGCUAGUUGGCGGGGUAAAGGCCCACCAAGGCGACGAUCCGUAGCUGGUCUGAGAGGAUGAUCAGCCACACUGGAACUGAGACACGGUCCAGACUCCUACGGGAGGCAGCAGUGGGGAAUAUUGGACAAUGGGCGCAAGCCUGAUCCAGCCAUACCGCGUGGGUGAAGAAGGCCUUCGGGUUGUAAAGCCCUUUUGUUGGGAAAGAAAAGCAGCAGGUUAAUACCCCGCUGUUCUGACGGUACCCAAAGAAUAAGCACCGGCUAACUUCGUG